rnacentral:rRNA from 1 species
CAGUCGCCACGGGAAUACGUAGGGUGCAAGCGUUAAUCGGAAUUACUGGGCGUAAAGCGCGCGCAGGCGGUUUGUUAAGACAGAUGUGAAAUCCCCGGGCUCAACCUGGGAACCGCACUUGUGACUGGCAAGCUAGAGUAUGGCAGAGGGGGGUGGAAUUCCGCGUGUAGCAGUGAAAUGCGUAGAUAUGCGGAGGAACACCGAUGGCGAAGGCAGCCCCCUGGGCCAAUACUGACGCUCAUGCACGAAAGCGUGGGGAGCAAACAGGAUUAGAUACCCCUGUAGUCCCUGUCUCUUAUAC